rnacentral:misc_RNA from 1 species
GAUGAAGAACGUAGCGAAAUGCGAUAAGUAAUGUGAAUUGCAGAAUUCAGUGAAUCAUCGAAUCUUUGAACGCACCUUGCGCCCGCCAGUAUUCUGGCGGGCAUGCCUGUUCGAGCGUCAUUUCAACCAUCAAGCCCCAGGCUUGUGUUGGGGACCUGCGGCUGCCGCAGGCCCUGAAAACCAGUGGCGGGCUCGCUGUCACACCGGGCGUAGUAGAUUUUAUCUCGCUCAGGGCGUGCUGCGGGUUCCGGCCGUUAAAAAGCCUUUUUUACCCAAGGUUGACCUCGGAUCAGGUAGGAAGACCCGCUGAACUUAAGCAUAUCAAUAAGCGGAGGA